rnacentral:rRNA from 1 species
AGAGUUUGAUCCUGGCUCAGGACGAACGCUGGCGGCGUGCCUAAUACAUGCAAGUCGAGCGGACGAAUCGAAAGCUUGCUUUUGAUUCGUUAGCGGCGGACGGGUGAGUAACACGUGGGCAACCUGCCCUGUAGACGGGGAUAACACCGAGAAAUCGGUGCUAAUACCGGAUAACACGAAAUGUCGCAUGACGUUUCGUUGAAAGACGGCGCAAGCUGUCGCUACAGGAUGGGCCCGCGGCGCAUUAGCUAGUUGGUGAGGUAACGGCUCACCAAGGCGACGAUGCGUAGCCGACCUGAGAGGGUGAUCGGCCACACUGGGACUGAGACACGGCCCAGACUCCUACGGGAGGCAGCAGUAGGGAAUCUUCCGCAAUGGACGAAAGUCUGACGGAGCAACGCCGCGUGAGCGAAGAAGGCCUUCGGGUCGUAAAGCUCUGUUGUUAGGGAAGAACAAGUAACGCAGUAACUGGCGUUACCGUGACGGUACCUAACGAGAAAGCCACGGCUAACUACGUGCCAGCAGCCGCGGUAAUACGUAGGUGGCAAGCGUUGUCCGGAAUUAUUGGGCGUAAAGCGCGCGCAGGGGGUUCCUUAAGUCUGAUGUGAAAGCCCACGGCUCAACCGUGGAGGGUCAUUGGAAACUGGGGGACUUGAGUGCAGAAGAGGAGAGCGGAAUUCCACGUGUAGCGGUGAAAUGCGUAGAGAUGUGGAGGAACACCAGUGGCGAAGGCGGCUCUCUGGUCUGUAACUGACGCUGAGGCGCGAAAGCGUGGGGAGCAAACAGGAUUAGAUACCCUG